rnacentral:rRNA from 1 species
GACGAACGCUGGCGGCGUGCUUAACACAUGCAAGUCGAACGGAAAGGCCCAGCUUGCUGGGUGCUCGAGUGGCGAACGGGUGAGUAACACGUGGGUGAUCUGCCCCUAACUUCGGGAUAAGCUUGGGAAACUGGGUCUAAUACCGGAUAGGACAAUCGUUUAGUGUCGGUUGUGGAAAGUUUUUUCGGUUAGGGAUGAGCCCGCGGCCUAUCAGCUUGUUGGUGGGGUAAUGGCCUACCAAGGCGUCGACGGGUAGCCGGCCUGCGAGGGUGGACGGCCACAUUGGGACUGAGAUACGGCCCAGACUCCUACGGGAGGCAGCAGUGGGGAAUAUUGCACAAUGGGCGCAAGCCUGAUGCAGCGACGCCGCGUGGGGGAUGACGGCCUUCGGGUUGUAAACCUCUUUCGACAGGGACGAAGCUUUGGUGACGGUACCUGUAUAAGAAGCACCGGCUAACUACGUG